rnacentral:lncRNA from 1 species
CAGGGCUUUGCCUGGGCAUGCCCACAGCAGACCGGGGGCCCACCUGCGUACCGGGAGAGUGGGGUGGAGCCACCGGGAAUUCACGCCUGAUGCCCGGGGAGGAGUCUGGCCUCUUCAGCUCCUGUGUGGUGGCCUGAUAUUCAGUCUGUGAGCUGGGAGCCUGUUGGCAGGUCCCUCUUUUUAUUUUCGCUGAGAGCUUUCUUUUACUAAAUGCCACCAUCCUUACCUUUCAAGGUGUCUGCGUGCCUAAUUUUUCCUGGUUGUUAGACAAGAACCCGGAUUUUAGUUGAACUCUGGAGCAAAAAUCCUGCAUCAUUUGUAGGUGGGUGUCAUUGUGACUGGCUGCUACCUCCCCAUGAGUCUUCUAAAAUAAAACCUGCAAAUUCACAUCUUCCCCAUGCUUCCAGAGAAUGCAUAUUCUUCCUUUGAAAAAAGAAAACCAGCACUGUUCAUAAUAGCCAAGAUUUGGAAGCCACCUAAGUGUCCAUCAACAGAUGAAUGGAGAAACUGUGGUACAUAUACACAACGGAGUGCUAUUCAGCCAUAAAAAAGAAUGAUACUCUGUCAUCUGCAACAACAUGAAUGGAACUGGAGAUCAUUAUGUUGUUAAAUAAGCCAGACACAGAAAGACAAACAUCACAUAUUUUCACUUAUUUUGGGGAUAUAAAAGUCAAAACAAACUCAUGGAGAUAGAGAACAGAUAGACGGUUACCAGAGGCUAGGAGGAGGAGUGGUGGGGGGCAGUUAGUGAUGGUUAAUUGGUACAAAAAAAUGGUUAGAAAUAAUAAAUAAGACCUAGUAUUAGAUAGGACAACAGGAGGACUAUAGUCAAAAAUAAUUUAUUUGUACAUUUCAAAGUAACUAAAAGAGUGUAAUUGUAUUAUUUGUAGCACAUAGGAUAAAUGCUUGAGGUGACGGAUACCCCAUUUACCCUGAUGUGAUUAUUACACAUCGUAUGCCUGUACCAAAAGAUCUCAUGUACCUCAUAAAUACAUACACCUACUAUAUACCCACACAAAUUAAAAAUUAAAAAAAUUUAAAGAAAUUACAGUUUGUUGGUUUUGAAUAUUUGACCAAAUUUUUUACUAAGCACAGAUAGAUUGAAUAUAAUUUUAUUGUCCUUUUGACAUUAUGAUAAUGAAGGUAUCUACACAGAAGUCUGAGAUGAGAAAAAAAUGAUAUAAUAUCCACCUACUACAUAGUGGGUAGUUUAUAUACUAAAGUUAUUGUUAUGAGAAAGAAUGGCUUAGGAAUAUUAUUUAAAAUUAAUUAAGGGGUGUUAAAAAUAAAAUACCAAGUGUAAAAAUGACAAAGGCAAGAAGAAACAGUAUAUAAUGUGAGUAAAUCUUAAUCUUUCCAAGAGAGGAGACAGUACAUAAUGUCUAAAAUUGUUAAACCAUGAAAUAGAAAUAUAGUUAUUUUAUUCAUAAUUAAGGAGAUAACUACUAUAGCACGAAAUCGUGCCAAAAAUGGUUGCCUCUGGGAAAUGUGAUUAUAGAUAUUAUAAUAUUUUGGACUGUAAAAAUCUGCUUUUAAGACUGAGGAAAUACAAAUAGGACAAUAUUUAUUUGAAAUUUGUAUCCUCAGGGAGUGUAAAGAAAUUAAUGUAUCCACAAAAUAAUAAUAGCUGCUAUUUGAAAACAUAGUUUUCUUGAAAGUUAAAAUAGUAAUAGUCUUCUAAAAAUUUUGUUAGUUUUGGUUUUCUCUUUAAUCUGAGUUAUGUAGAAAAGUGCUUAUUUCAAAUUAGGUAGGCUUGUUUUAUUCCUUUUUCUGUCUUUUUUCUAUCAACUAGUGUUUUAUUGUGUUCAGAAAAUGCCAUGCAUUAAAAGACUACUUUUGAGAAUUUCUAGAGAUUUUCUUUGUUACUAAAGAGAUUUUUGUAAUUGUUACAUGGGAUUUUAAAAAGAAUGUAAAUUAUCCUUUUUGUCAAGUAUAAUGAUUUCUGAAACCUAGCUGUGUCAGAAUACUGUAUAAUACUGUAAUAGUAUGUUGUUUUUGGCUAUGUGUACUUAUUUCUUAGAGUGGUAUGUUAAAGCCUCGACCUUGUGACUUUGUUUAUUUCUCUCUCUACAUCUAAACAUUUCCAAGACAUGUUAUUUGCAAUACCAAGACCAUAACUAUUAUGUAUUUAAUCAAAAUAAAAUAUUUCGGCUCUCUAUAAUUCACCUUGAACUUUAUUUUGUUAAAUAUAAAUGUUGUUGAUUAUACAACAUUUCAUUAUCAAUCCCUAGACACAUUUCUAAUCCACUAUAAUUGUUUUAAAAUAAAAGGAGAAGGGAAGGUUGUA